rnacentral:ncRNA from 1 species
CGAUCCUAAGGGACGGGGUAACCCUGGCAGUUAACGCGAUCACGCGUAUCCCGCGAAAGGGAAUAGGGUUAAGAUUUCCCGAGCCGGGAUGUGGCGGUUGACGGCGAUGUUAGGAAGUCCGGAGACGCCGAUGGGGGCCUUGGGAAGAGUUAUCUUUUCUGCUUAAUGGCCUGCCAACCCUGGAAACGGUUCAACCGGAGGUAGGGUCUAGUGGCCGGAAGAGCACCGCACGUCGC